GAAUCGCUAGUAAUCGCAGAUCAGAAUGCUGCGGUGAAUACGUUCCCGGGUCUUGUACACACCGCCCGUCACACCAUGGGAGUCGGAUAUGCCCGAAGCCAGUGACCCAACCGUAAGGAGGGAGCUGUCGAAGGUGGAGCCGAUAACUGGGGUGAAGUCGUAACAAGGUAAC
rnacentral:rRNA from 1 species